AGGGACUGAAAACCAAGUGAGGAGAUGCAGGAAUUCUCCAAAAAUCUUAAAAGAUAUGAGACCUCAGAUGGCUUUGAUGAAAAUCAGAAAAAUAGUUACACAGGAAAAGUGAAAAUAAAUACAUAGCCUAAACCUUGUGUAUCUGUUGAACUGACCCCUGACUUGGUUCACGCAAGUUCAACUUUGGGGAGUUGAAGAUGCUGAAGCAGUCCACGUUCAAAUGCCAAGACGUCUGGACAUUUUCCAAGCUUGGGCUGACAAACGGCAAGUAAUAUUUGCACCACACAAAUGCCAGGCAAUGACCACCUCCGAUAAGAAGCAAGCUAACCAGCUCCCCUUUUCAUCUACAAGAGUGCGUCAGAGGCUCCGAAUAUUACAAUGAGUAAUUCACAUUUUCACUACCAAAGUGUGUCCACCAUCCACAAAUCAGGAAAUGAUAUGGAUGGGUGCAGCUUCAACAACAUCCAGAAACUUACACCAUCCAGGAUAAAACAAUCCACCUGAUUGACACCGUAUCCACUCCCUCCACCACCAAUGCUCACUGGCAAUAAUGUGAAUUCUCUACACAAUGCACUGCAGAAAUGGGUGGCACGGUGGCUCAGGGGUUAGCGCUGCUGUCUCUGCACCAGGGGCCCGGGUUCGAUACCAGCCUCAGGCAAUUGUCUACGUGGAGUUUGCAUAUUCUCCCCGCGUCUGCAUGGGUUUCCUCCGGGUUCUCUGGUUUCCUCCCACAGUCCAAAGAUAUGCCGACUAGGUGGAUUGCCAUGCUAAAUUGCCAUUGUGUUCAGGGCCGUUUAGAUUAGGUGGGUUACACAGUGAUGGGUCUGGGUGGGAUGCUGUGAGGGUCGGUGUGGACUUGUUGGCCUGAAGGGCCUGUUUUCACACUGUAAGGAUUCUAAGAAUUCAACAAAGAUUCUGAGACAGCACUUUCCAAACAAGCAGAGCAGAUACAUAGGAACAUCACCAUCUGCAAGGUCCCCUCCAAGCCAGUCAACAUCCUGAAUUGGAAAUAUAUCACCAUUCCUUUAGUGUCACUGGGUCAAAACCCUGGAAUUCCUUCCCAGAGGUCAAUGAAGGUUGACAAACAGCACCUGGUUGAAGAAGGCAGCUCAGUAUCACCUUCUUAAAAGGCAACUAGGACAGGCAGCAAUAUUGUCCAGCCAGCAAUGUCCGUGCCCCAUGAAUAAAUAAAAAUAUUUCAGCUCCCCUACCCAGUUUGCAUCAUAGCCCUCCCCAGCUGCCAUUCUACAUGGCUAGCAUGUUAUUGCCAUUCUAUUGGGCAACCCAGCACCCAAUACCCAGCACAGUUGACCUACCCUGGCAGUGUCUUACCUGGCAUUGAAACCCCUAUCUAUCUGGCAUUAACACUCCCAGCACUUGAACAUUCCCUCAACAUUAUGGUUUCAAAUCAAUCUAUUCAGAGAUGUUACAACAUAUCUGUGGAGCAGGUAGAACUUGAACCCAGUUGUCCAGGUUUAUGUCUGCAUUACUACUGCAUCUCAAAAUCUCCUGACACUUACCUUCUAUCCUUAACCUUUAACAUUGCUGUCAAAGUGUCUGCUAGGACCUCUAAACUUCAAAAUACUGCAGCUGAUUGCUGUGGAAAGGGGGCCUCCCUCUGACAGUCCUCUUAGAAAUAUGGAGUUCCCUUCUUUUGAAACAAAAGAAGGAUUUUAGCAACAAUCUGCAUGAGAUUACCCCUCUCCAGAAAAUCUGGCCCAAUGAGCUAGAAACUAAUCCCAGGAUAAAACAGACAGCUUUCAUCCAGAAGAGAGGUCUUGGUCAAAAAACCUAAACUUCUAUAUAAAUGGACAUCCUCGCUGAAAGAGCAACUCUGGUCUCCAAAAAUCACACGAUCUAGGCUUCAAUAUAACAUGACGGCGAGUUCCAUAAAAUUCCACUGAUCUUGUUAUAAUUAUCAAACAUUAUCCAAACACUAACACCAAAUCACAGGCAGAGAUAUUAGGACAUUAUCCAAGAUGUGGUCAAUGAGGUCAGUUUACAAAAGGAGGAGGAUGAGAUGGAGAAGGUUAAGAAGGAUAUCCAGAGUUCGGGGCCUCAGCAGAUGAUGGCACUUGUGGUGGCUCCUGACACCAAUUAGUGGAUGUUGAAAUGGGAGAUGCUUAAGCAGCCACAAGGAGGAGUGCAGAGAUGCUGAAGGAGAUUACAGAGAUAGGGAGGACUGAAACCAUGGUGGAGGCAUUUGAAGAUAAGGAUGAGACUUUUAAAGUGAUCUCCUGUCAGAGUGGGAUUAAUGAAUAGGUCACUGACUUGGAUGGUGAUGAAUGAAAAGAACUUGGUAUGAAUUUGAAUAAAGACAGCAAGAUUUUAACUCUCAAA